CUCUUCAUUUUGAACCCUAAAACCCCUAAUUUAUAUUUCUUGCUUUUCAUUGAUUCUUCAUUGUUUCACUGUUCUUUGUUUUAGGGGACAAGCCAAAGGAUCAGAAACCAUUUGGCAGUAACUGCUUAGUAUAUUAAUAUCAAUUGAAUUCACUCAGAUACAGUUCAAAAUAUUCCUAAUUUUAUUGUCAAUUGAAGUUGCAAUGUCUUAUGGCAGUAACUGCUUAGUCAUGAUAGGUGAGUGAUAGUGUUGCAGUUAACUAAUGUCUAUGGAGGGAAAGUGAGAGCUAUGAAGUAUUGAAUAAGCUACUCCAUGUCUUAUUUGACAUCUCUGUAGUUCUUUUAUUUUUAGAAUGGAAUAAUAUAUAUUCGGU
rnacentral:lncRNA from 1 species